rnacentral:rRNA from 1 species
UCGUGCCAGCAGCCGCGGUAAUACGAAGGGACCUAGCGUAGUUCGGAAUUACUGGGCUUAAAGAGUUCGUAGGUGGUUGAAAAAGUUGGUGGUGAAAUCCCAGAGCUUAACUCUGGAACUGCCAUCAAAACUUUUCAGCUAGAGUAUGAUAGAGGAAAGCAGAAUUUCUAGUGUAGAGGUGAAAUUCGUAGAUAUUAGAAAGAAUACCAAUUGCGAAGGCAGCUUUCUGGAUCAUUACUGACACUGAGGAACGAAAGCAUGGGUAGCGAAGAGGAUUAGAUACCCUCGUAGUCCAUGCCGUAAACGAUGUGUGUUAGACGUUGGAAAUUUAUUUUCAGUGUCGCAGGGAAACCGAUAAACACACCGCCUGGGGAGUACGACCGCAAGGUUAAAACUCAAAUGAAUUGACGGGGACCCGCACAAGUAGUGGAGCAUGUGGUUUAAUUCGAAGAUACGCGCAGAACCUUACCAACACUUGACAUGUUCGUCGCGACUCUAAGAGAUUAGAGUUUUCGGUUCGGCCGGACGAAACACAGGUGCUGCAUGGCUGUCGUCAGCUCGUGUCGUGAGAUGUUGGGUUAAGUCCCGCAACGAGCGCAACCCUCAC